GAUUAUAGCAAUAUUAUUAAAGAGGAGUGGCGAACGGUGAGUAACACGUAGAUAAUCUGCCUUCGAGACGGGGACAACUCAGGGAAACUUGUGCUAAUACCCGAUGAGACCACAAGAAGGGAUUUUUGUGGCCAAAGGCGGGCAGCAAUGCUCGUGCUGAAAGAUGAGUCUGCGUCCUAUCAGCUAGUUGGUGGGGUAAAUCGCCUACCAAGGCUAAGACGGGUAGCCGGCCUGAGAGGGUGAACGGCCACACUGGGACUGAGACACGGCCCAGACUCCUACGGGAGGCAGCAGUGAGGAAUUUUCCGCAAUGGGCGCAAGCCUGACGGAGCGACGCCGCGUGAGGGAUGACAGCCUUUCGGGUUGUAAACCUCUUUCAUUAAGGAAAAAGAUCUAUAUGCUAAUAUCAUGUAGAUUUGAUGGUACUUAUUGAAUAAGCCCCGGCUAACUACGUGCCAGCAGCUGC
rnacentral:rRNA from 1 species